rnacentral:lncRNA from 1 species
UUAAAAUCCUAAUUUUAGUGGGAAACAAUAUCCGCCAUCUAUCCGAGUCACUAUAAUAAAAAUAGUGUAUAGCGACGCUUUUAAAUAUCAGUAUAGCUAAAAAAAAAGUGCUACUGAUUAAAUUACCGAUAUUUUUUAAAAGUGUUGCCGUAUGUGGGGUUGCUAUAUGUGGGGCUGCCUCAAUAUUUGGCGACCACUCCUCCAACGACUUGUGGCGGAGAGACACGUAGCGAUCAUAGUCCUCUACGGUCCCUGCGAGAUCCUCGCGGCCGAACUCUAACCGCCGGAAUUAAGGCAGGCUGCAGUGGCGGAGGGGGAGAAGGGGAGAUGGUGAUCAAUUUUUUUUUCUUUUUCUUUUUCGAUUUGUAAUUACACCGAGUGGGCUAGAUGGGGUUGGUAAAGUAAAAAAACUUUAUAUUUUUGGUUGGAUUGUACUUUAUAUUUAGGCAUUAGUAAAUUUUUUAAAAAAGUUUUGAUAUAAAUGAAACACUUACACAAAAUAUUCUAAAAAUGUAUCUCUAUAACUUAAUUCUAUUGUAGUGAGUCUCCAAUUUAAUUCUAGCCAUCGAUCUUCUCUUAAAGAUCCUAUCCAAAAUAUUCCUAAAUCAAAACUAAUCUUAAAGUGCAAAAUUAGAUCAAGUUUGAGUUGAAUCCAACUUAACUUGUUCGCCAUGGGAUAGAGAAUACCGGUACUAAAAACAGAAAUACUGGUAACACCUUUGUGUUUUGAGGAACUCCAACCUAUGUACCCAUAUUCUGUUGGGAAAAACCGCAACGAAAAAUCCGAUUGUGAUUAAAAUCUAACUAGUUUUAAGAUGAAAAUAAAUAAAUCAACUUACAGAUAAACGCAAAUAUCCAAAUAAAGAUUUGACCUUAUCCGGAAGCGUGCAAGGCACUGCCCAAAGGCGUAUUCCCGUCCUUACGUACGGGAUUAACCGGGAAUAACACCCCAAGGUAAGGCUGGUAUUCCUCCUCCUGCGAGCACGAUCGUGAAGGAGGUUGACGAAGACUCUUUCAACACCCGAUGACAAAAGGGAACAAAUCAAAU